GGCUACUGAAAGACGUCAGUCAAGAUUCACACUGCACAAACUGGGACUCAGUGCCCAGCUUUCCGGAGUUUGUGGAAAAGAAACAACAGGCAAAGAGUCCAGAACACCAGGAAGUCUUUACAGUGGGAAUAAAAGACUUUAAGUGGGUACCAUUCCCAUCUUUUCACAAAGAAGAAUGUCUGAACCCCAAGGAUCUGAACUCCCAGCAGCCAACACAGAGCCAGAGCAAUGAAUUGCAUAAAGGACAAGGCCAAGCAGAUAAACUGAAAAGCUUCUCCACCAGUACAGAUCAAGCCAAAACUGUAUCUGGAGCAGACACAAAAGGUGUUUCAGAGCUGGAUGUGAGUCCUAAAUCAUGUAAAGACCCUGGGCACAGCAGCUCAGCACAACCCUCAGCCUUGCUACAAAGCCCUGCAGAGGCUUUGAACCCUCAGCAGCACCACACAGGGACUGCACAGAGCAGCAGGGCAGGCAGGAGAGAAGAGGGUGAGGAAAAGCCUCAAAUCCAAACACAUCAGGGGGAUCUUCCAGCAGGGGAGGCCACGGGGGUGCCUGUGGAAAAGCCUCAGCUUGGGAGUGCUCCUGGAGCUGAGAGCCACGAGGAGAAGAUGGAAAAGCAGAGUGAAACAGCUUCAGCUCUUGACAGUUGUCCAAUGUGUCUGAUGCAGUUUAGUGGAAGGCUCUCCCAGCUGGACAUGGAUGGCCACCUUGCCAGGUGCUUGUCUGAAAGUGCAGAUGAUGUCAUGUGGUAAAUCCAGAAGAGUGGAGAGCAAAGGAACAAGGCCAAGGAUGAAGCUUCCUCAAAGGGAAAGGAAAAAAAUAUGUCAAGGAAGCACAUCCUUGUCUCUGACUUAAACCAGUAACUCAGUAGAAGGAUAAAUGCCACCUGCCUAUUUGUUUGGUUUUUUACUAUUAUUUUUUAUUUUAAAGCCUCUCAACUGCACAUUAAGUAGUUCUAGUUCUGAAAAUGGUGCUCUGGGAUGUUCCAGAGACCCCCCAGGGAAACCAGACUCCUGAAAAAAUGCAGUACUGGAAAGCCCUGGAGCUUUGUCUGAUGCACCACAGUUCUGAAUCUCUCAGGACAGAAAAAAACAAUUGAGCAAAAGACAGCUGUUACUUACUCUAAUCCAAAAGUUUACUAUUUUUUUUUUCCUAAACAGAUAAUC
rnacentral:lncRNA from 12 species